rnacentral:rRNA from 1 species
GAUGAACGCUAGCGGGAGGCUUAACACAUGCAAGUCGAGGGGUAAAUGGUAGCAAUACUAUGAGACCGGCGGACGGGUGCGUAACGCGUAUGCAACAUACCUUUAGCAGGGGGAUAGCCCGUGGAAACGCGGAUUAAUAUUCCAUAGUCCAGCAGUAUCGCAUGGUACCACUGGUAAAGAUUAAUCGGCUAAAGAUUGGCAUGCGUCUGAUUAGUUAGUUGGUAGGGUAACGGCCUACCAAGGCGACGAUCAGUAGGGGUUCUGAGAGGAUUACCCCCCACACUGGUACUGAGACACGGACCAGACUCCUACGGGAGGCAGCAGUGAGGAAUAUUGGUCAAUGGGCGGAAGCCUGAACCAGCCAUCCCGCGUGAAGGAAGACAGCCUUACGGGUUGUAAACUUCUUUUCUGGUUUGAAGAAUAAGCCCGUUGAGACGGGUGAUGCCGGUAGGACAGGAAUAAGCAUCGGCUAACUCCGUG